AUACCAGGAAUCUAUAACAAGGAAUUGAAAUAUUUGAUUGUAAAUGUAUUAACAGAGGCUAGGAUUGUAUUUGCUAAAAAUUGGAAAAAUGAGAAAAUACCAACCCAUGAGGAAGUUAUCAAGAAAGUAAUGGAAUAUGCUGAAAUGAGUAAAUUGACAUUUGAAAUUAGAGAACAAGAAG